UACGUAGGGUGCAAGCGUUAUCCGGAAUUAUUGGGCGUAAAGAGCUCGUAGGCGGUUUGUCGCGUCUGCUGUGAAAACUGGGGGCUCAACUCCCAGCCUGCAGUGGGUACGGGCAGACUAGAGUGCGGUAGGGGAGAUUGGAAUUCCUGGUGUAGCGGUGGAAUGCGCAGAUAUCAGGAGGAACACCGAUGGCGAAGGCAGAUCUCUGGGCCGAUACUGACGCUGAGGAGCGAAAGCGUGGGGAGCAAACAGG
rnacentral:rRNA from 1 species